rnacentral:rRNA from 1 species
UACGUAGGGUGCGAGCGUUGUCCGGAAUUACUGGGCGUAAAGAGCUCGUAGGUGGUUUGUCGCGUUGUCCGUGAAAACUCACAACUCAAUUGUGGGCGUGCGGGCGAUACGGGCAGACUGGAGUACUGCAGGGGAGACUGGAAUUCCUGGUGUAGCGGUGGAAUGCGCAGAUAUCAGGAGGAACACCGGUGGCGAAGGCGGGUCUCUGGGCAGUAACUGACGCUGAGGAGCGAAAGCGUAGGGAGCGAACAGG